GAGACUUCUCAGGCUGGGCUGGACACACCUUUCCAAGGACCCCCAAACUCUGCUCCGUGCACGUCAAAUGCUCCUUUCCCUUGUGUCCAACCCCCUACCCCUCUCCCUAACACCCCUCUUCUCAACAAGACUCAGCCUCUCCCCGAGGUGGGUGAGCAUCCUUGAGGUUUCCCACCCUUAACUGCUGUGUCCCCGGAUGGAGCCAGAGAAAUGUGGUGGGGGGGCCGGGGCCAGAGUUUCAACAUUGCCCCCCAGAAGGAGGAGCCAGAGAUGGGGUCUGUCCAGGAAAAUAGGAUGCCGGAGCCCAGGAGUCGUCAGCCUAGCAGUUGCCUGGCCUCCAGAUGCCUCCCAGGGGAGCAGAUCCUAGCAUGGGCCCCAGGGGUGAGGAAGGGCCUGGAACCAGAAUUGUCUGGAACCCUGAUCUGUACCAACUUUAGGGUCACCUUCCAGCCCUGUGGAUGGCAGUGGAAUCAGGUGAGAUGGUUGGGGCCACAGAAAUGACAGCUAGUGGGAAAUGGGUAGGGGAGUCUAGCAGGAUUUAGACAAACAUUAUGGGUUAAGGGCUGUCUUUUGAAUGUAUCAUUGAUAAUCAGUGGGAACUCUCUCUAGGGUUGUUGCCCCCUAGAAGGGGUUGGGGCUGCCAGGGUAGGAAAAUGAGGGCGAUUUCAGAUGUCUACCCAGUCACGUGUUUCGUCUAGGACACUCCCUUGAACAGUGAAUACGAUUUUGCCCUGGUCAACAUUGGACGAUUAGAGGCUGUGAGCGGCUUGUCCCGAGUCCAGCUCCUCCGUCCAGGGUCCCUGCAUAAAUUUAUCCCUGAGGAGAUUCUGAUUCAUGGCCGAGACUUCCGGCUGCUCAGAGUUGGUUUUGAGGCUGGAGGCCUAGAGCCUCAGGCUUUUCAGGUGACCAUGGCCAUUGUCCAAGCCAGAGCUCAGAGCAAUCAAGCCCAACAGUAUUCGGGGAUAACCCUGAGCAAGGCUGGCCAGGGUUCUGGCUCCAGAAAACCACCAAUUCCUCUCAUGGAGACAGCGGAAGACUGGGAGACUGAGCGGAAGAAGCAGGCAGCCAGAGGCUGGAGGGUCAGCACGGUCAACGAGAGGUUCGACGUAGCCACCAGGUGAUCCC
rnacentral:lncRNA from 1 species